CCCCUCCCGGCCCGGGUGCGCUUCAAGGGCCGGCGCCGGAUUUCCUGGCCCCGCGCCCAGCGCCCCGCGGGCUGUUUGGGAGCGCCCGGUGAGGGGACUGCAGGGGCUCCGAGGGCGCACAGCUUCCGUCCCAGCUCCCGCGCCGACUGGAAGCGGCCGGGGCGCACACCCCGCCUGCCCGCUCCCACCCUAGCCCUGCAAACUGGAUCCCCUCCCCUUUCCCCCAAAGGGAACAGGCCUGGCCUCCUGCUCCCUUCCCCAGUCGCAGUCAUCCCGAUCGAUGGUCACACAUAUCGGCAGAAAAAGUCUUCGAACUUGGAAGACCUCUCAGGAUGAGCCUCACCGAGGCUGGAUGGGGAGGAGGGAGGACUGGGCCCAUAGUUGGAGCCCUCCUGCCCCAAGACCACGGGCAGCCACAGAGCCAGCCUGACUCUUCCGGCUCUCUCCAUCAGGCUGGAAGCUCUCUGAGGUCGAGACCCUGUCUGCUCCUGGCUCCCACGCUGAGACUUCGUUCUAGAAGGGCCUGGGGUCCCAAGAUCAGCUCAGCCACCAUCCCAGACUUGCAGUUGACCCUUUAAGAAGAAGAAUCUCUUUAGUCUCUAACACACCGGAUGGCGGGUGGGCCCUAAUCGGAUUUGGGAGCCUGUCUCCUGCCCACCCCAAUCCUGCUUUCCAGGCCACUGCACCCAUGUGACGGCCAGUCUGGAGCAGCAGGGAGGCCUCAGGACCACGUGGGUCCAGACAGGUAGUUGAGAGACUGUCUACCCAAGGCAGUCUCUCCUGGGUGGCUGUGUUCCCAGCAGACAGAAGUCAGAAACUGCGGAAGGCAGGAGUGAUCUAGAGCACUUACCCUGUACUCUGGACCAACCGGCACAGUGGAGCAUGUGCACAUGAGUACCCACAUGUGUGCAUGUGGGGAACACACAUAUGCGUGCACACACACACACACACACACACACACACACAUCUCAGAGAGGGAGCUGAGCCAGAUUCUGGGCUAGGCGCUUUACAAACAAUAUUUCUUAG
rnacentral:lncRNA from 1 species